UACGUAGGGGGCAAGCGUUGUCCGGAUUUAUUGGGCGUAAAGAGCGUGUAGGCGGCCUUACAGGUCAGCUGUGAAAACUCGAGGCUCAACCUCGAGACGUCGGUUGAAACCGUAUGGCUAGAGUCCGGAAGAGGAGAGUGGAAUUCCCGGUGUAGCGGUGAAAUGCGCAGAUAUCGGGAGGAACACCAAUGGCGAAGGCAGCUCGCUGGGCCCGCCCUGACGCUGAGGCGCGAAAGCCAGGGGAGCGAACGGG
rnacentral:rRNA from 1 species